GGGUUCAUUCUGAAGUUGUUUUGACCCAAAGGGGUUCAGAGCUGAAGAGGCCUGGCGAGUCUGUUCAGCUGACAUGUGCCACAAGAGGGUUUAUUAUAACCGACUGGUGGAUGGAAUGGGUCAGACAAAAGCCAGGAGAGGGCCUGGAAUGGCUAGUACACUACUGGAAAUCUUCUAAAACCAACUACUAUUCCCCCACCAUUCAUGGACGCUUCACAGCCUCCAAGGAUAGCACCAAUUUUUAUUUCCAAAUGAGCAGCCUGAAAGUGGAGGACACAGCUGUGUAUUACUGCACAGCUGGCUCACGGUGA